UGGCGGACGGGUGAGUAACGCGUGGGUAACCUGCCUCACACUGGGGACGAACAGUUAGAAAUGACUGCUAAUACCGCAUAAGCGCACAGGACCGCAUGGUCCGGUGUGAAAAACUCCGGUGGUGUGAGAUGGACCCGCGUUUGAUUAGCUAGUUGGUGGGGUAACGGCCUACCAAGGCGACGAUCAAUAGCCGACCUGAGAGGGUGACCGGCCACAUUGGGACUGAGACACGGCCCAA
rnacentral:rRNA from 1 species